rnacentral:lncRNA from 1 species
UAUUACGUUGUAUCUUUGAACGCCGACGAAAAUGCCGGAUCCAGCGAAGUCCGCUCCUGCUCCAAAGAAGGGCUCCAAGAAAGCUGUCACGAAAGUGCAGAAGAAAGAUGGCAAGAAGCGCAAGCGCAGCCGCAAGGAGAGCUAUUCUGUCUACGUGUACAAGGUGCUGAAGCAAGUGCACCCAGACACCGGCAUCUCAUCUAAGGCUAUGGGAAUCAUGAAUUCCUUCGUGAAUGACAUCUUCGAGCGCAUCGCAGGAAUGAAGACUCCCCACACCACACCACUCCUAUCCCAAAAGGCAUGUGGACACACUCUCCUCCCCACCAGCUGCAUCAGCUCCCUUUGGGAUUCCUUGUUCUCAGCUCUGGAAACUUUGCACUAAGGAUAUAGUGAGCUGCCUGCCUGCCUGCCCGCUCUCUAGCUCGGGUGACCCACCCUAACUAGCUCCGACAAUGCUGGAACCUGAGGGGAGGCCGUGUAUGCUGAACCCAGAGGAGACAGAGGUUGCAGUCUCCUCCUGCUUGCACUUUGGCGUCUACCUACCAGAGCCUCGGGUUAGGCGGGACUUUGAAUCUUCUCCCCGGCAGCGGCAGCAGCAGCUGCGAGCCCCAAAGGCGGCCACCAGGGGUCGCCAUGCGAGUCCUCGACCACGCGGAUCAGACUGGCCGGCUGGGCUGGGCUGGGUAGUUGUGCAGCUGCGCACUCGCGGAGACUGCCAGCCUCUCGUGAUGUGCGCUAGAGCAGAUGCAAAGUGAAUCAUCAUUACCAAGCGCUGAGUCUGCUUUUGAAUGGGGCCCUUCCCUAUACCAGAGGGAAUCGGACACGCACCACCCUUUUCCACACGCUUUCUGCUGCCGCAGACCCAGGAGAGAUCAUUUCACUCUUGUCUGCUAGGUGAAAGCAAGCAAGCAAUCGUAAGGUUUGAGGGAGACUGAAAGAGUCCGCCGAGGAGCGUUCGGGUCCCAGGGCUCUCCAAGCAUUGGCAAAGAUGACCCAGCCGCACGCUGCCUGCAUUGUACAUAGAUGACCACGCGAUGACGCCAGCGAGUCACUUCGCCCCAAAGUCCGAUCUUCUUUCUCUUCUUUACUAUCUAUUUAGGUAGGGGGUCUUGAUUGGAGUUUGUUUUCUUUGCCAGUUAGAGAAUAAAAGACAGGAAAAAAUGUUGUGGAGAAGGUAGCAAAGGGGUAAACCUCAGACGCAGCAGCCAGAAUCAACCCGUGAAGAAACACACGCACACAGCACAUUAGAAAGAUUGGGCGUGGUCUCAGGAAGUUGGCCUUUUCUGGAGCGUGGGGGGCUUGAGGAUCUUUUAGGAGAUCUUCUCCUAGUCUAGGAGUUGUCAGUUUGAAUAAAGACAGAGAAACUGAUAGGCCCACAUUUCUGGAUAAACAUGUACUAGUCUGGCCCUGAACUUGGACUGAGCUGCCUGCCUCUGCUGGCAAGAGAAAAAGUCCACCCAGUCUUUGCCUCAGGUCAUGAGCAU